AAAGUAUCAAACAAUAAUAUUGUGAUACCCUUUAAAAACACUGACAGUGCUCCGUGACCCCUGCGCGAUUCGUCGCCCCCCACCAUUUUAUUUAACGUUUGAAAUUAAUUUGUAUAUUUUUGUUUUGCUUUGAAAUCAGUUAGUGCCUCCGCGUAACUAGAGUAGGUGUUUUUUUCGGGUUCGGACGAAAAUAAUCGUGAUUUUGUGAUUAACUAUUUGUGGUGAUUUCCUGAUCAGUUUGUGACAGUCUGUCUUUUUCUGGAGGUAAGGGAUAUUAUACGCUAUUUUACCACCAGUCAUGAUUGACGAUUUUUAUUUUAUUUUAUAAGGUUUUCGUUGUCCCAACAUAAAAAAAGUACCCCACUUUUUUUGUGGUUUUCGCUCGUCCAGAGCCUUUGUGUAGUAUGACUAAAAGCGAGCUUAAAUGGGAUGUAUGCUGCUUUUGCCAAACCAGUAAUGCCAUAUCUUUGAUAUGUCCCAAUAAUAAUCCCAUCAAAAACUUGAAAAAUCGAGGAUAUAUUACAAUUGCUUCCAACUUAACGGAGCUUAAACCUUUUAAUUUUAAAUUGUCUUGUGGUAAAAAUGUAAAUGUUCUGGAUGAAGGCGAUGGAAUUGAAGCUUACCUAGUUAAGCACAAUGCUAAGUGGCACCAAUCGUGCGCCAUUAAAUUUAGAAAUCCAAGGUUUAAGAAAUUAUUAAGCAAUUUGCAAUUAUCGAAAGUUCCAGAACGUCCAGACGAGUUUCAAUUUAGCGGCAAUUCAAAUUUGCAAAAAAUUUGCAAAUUAUGACGAAUGUUGACUCCACAAUUGUGGCAUCACAUUCCGACUUGACAACUCUCAACGGAGUUUCUUGCUUGAAUAUGGAAGAGGCUGACGGAAGAAUAGUGUUACACUUGCAAAACGCCAUCGAGAAUGCGGGACUACAUAAUAUAAUUGUUCGAAGUUCUGAUACAGAUGUUCUUGCACUUCUAGUAUCUUUCUUCCAAAGAUCAGGCAGAAAGGUUUAAAGCAUCUGUGGCUGCAAUAUGGAGUAGGAUCUAAACAACGGUAUAUUAGUGUUCGCCAAAUUUCGCAGACUCUUGGAGACGACAAAUCUGAGGCACUGCGAGGUUUCCACGCUUUUUCGGGUAGUGAUUUCACGACCUUUUUUUGUGGCAAGGGCAAACGUUCUGCAUGGGCAGCAUGGGACGAAUCUUUCACUAAUGCCUUUAAGGAGAUUUCCAACCCACAAACCGAAAUUAGUCCGAUCGUAUAUGCGGACUUACAGAAAUUUACCAUAAAACUGUAUGGCGUAUGUACAUCGGAAUCAAAUGAGGAUUCACGUCCAGGUAUAAAUGAGGUGAGAAAGCAGAUGUUUGCUUCAGACGGUAAACACCUAGCUUCAAUUCCUCCAACACGCGCUGCAUUGGAGGAGCACAUAAAGAGAGCAGCGUAUGUCGCUGGUCACAUCUGGGGCUGUGCAAAUCUUGUAAUGGAAAAUUGCACAAGUCCUGAAGGAUGGGGAUGGACUCUUGAUCUUGAGGUCAAUCAUUGGAAGGUUUUGUGGUCCAAGUUGCCACAGGUUUGGAAGGCAGUUCGUGCUUUAGAUAGAUGUGGCUGCGUGACAGGCUGCGAGACACUUCGGUGCAGCUGCCGGUGACAGGGACUGCCAUGUUCCCCUGCAUGCCAAAAAUGUAUGGGGGAUUGCUCAAAUAAAGGGUAAAUUUAUCGAAUAUUUCCGGUAUAAUCUACUACCGAACCUCCUAUAUUUAAUUUUAUGUGCAAUUUGUUUUAGUGGGAAUAACGCCGAAAAAGACAGGGAAGUACUUGGCGAUAGUUCAUAGUUUAGUAGUUUAUAAUUUAGAUACUUCAUAUUUCUGUACCUACAUUUUUAUACCGUCCCUUAUAUUUAGUUUUUAUAUUAAACCUUAUAUUUUUGUUUUAUUUGUUGCUGUUGUUUAUUUUUAUUUGUUAAUGUGUAUUUUUACGUUGU